CGAGGUUGCGAGCGGCGUCGAGCACACGACUGAAAAUCGUGGUGUCCCCGGUUCGAGUCCGGGUCUCGCCA
rnacentral:tRNA from 1 species